UACGUAGGGUCCGAGCGUUGUCCGGAAUUAUUGGGCGUAAAGGGCUCGUAGGCGGUUUGUCGCGUCGGGAGUGAAAACAUCUGGCUUAACUUGGUGCUUGCUUUCGAUACGGGCAGACUGGAGGUAUGCAGGGGAGAACGGAAUUCCUGGUGUAGCGGUGAAAUGCGCAGAUAUCAGGAGGAACACCGGUGGCGAAGGCGGGUCUCUGGGCCGAUACUGACGCUGAGGAGCGAAAGCAUGGGGAGCGAACAGG
rnacentral:rRNA from 1 species